UACGUAGGGUGCGAGCGUUAAUCGGAAUUACUGGGCGUAAAGCGCGCGUAGGCGGCUUUGUAAGUUAGAGGUGAAAGCCCGGGGCUCAACUCCGGAAUUGCCUUUAAGACUGCAUCGCUAGAAUCCGGGAGAGGUGAGUGGAAUUCCGAGUGUAGAGGUGAAAUUCGUAGAUAUUCGGAAGAACACCAGUGGCGAAGGCGGCUCACUGGACCGGCAUUGACGCUGAGGUGCGAAAGCGUGGGGAGCAAACAGG
rnacentral:rRNA from 1 species